AUUGAACGCUGGCGGCAGGCCUAACACAUGCAAGUCGAACGAGUGGCGGACGUGUGAGUAAUGUCUGGGAAACUGCCUGAUGGAGGGGGAUAACUACUGGAAACUGUAGCUAAUCCCGCCUACCAUCGGAUGUGCCCAGAUGGGAUUAGCUAGUAGGUGGGGGAACGGCUCACCUAGGCGACGAACCCUAGCUGGUCUGAGAGGAUGACCAGACACACUGGAACUGAGACACGGUCCAGACUCGUACGGGAGGCAGCAGUGGGGAAGAUUGCACAAUGGGCGCAAGCCUGAUGCAGCCAUGCCGCGUGUAUGAAGAAGGCCUUCGGGUUGUAAAGUACUUUCAGCGGGGAGGCGUUACCCGCAGAAGAAGCACCGGCUAACUACGUGCCAGCAGCCGCGGUAAUUC
rnacentral:rRNA from 1 species